UCUCUACGAGUAGUACUAAGCUUGGCCUCUGCACUUUCCCUUUUUCGUACAGAGUGUAAGGAAAAUUUAACAAGUUUUUCUUUGUGUUAAAUGGUAUUGAAAAAUGCGAUGCAAGAAAGGAGUUGAUGAUUACGAUUAUCUUUUACUAAAGUGCUUUUGAACUACUAUAGAUUCCCCUAAAAGGUUGGUUUGAUUUCUUGUUUUCUGAUCAGUUUCCUUCAUAACAAAGAAAACCCACGUCUUCAUGUGUGUUUCAUUCUCACACACAAGCACAAAAAAAAGCAUACAGCAGGCUGAUGAUGGUUCAUGCACGCAGAUUAUAUUGUUUAGAACUAUAAAGAAAAACUUCGGAAAAGAUCUCAUAUGGGAGUUUUGCUCUGUUGAGAAUCUCAUUCCUCGUGGGGACUGUUGGACGGUUUAAAUGAUGGAAGGAGCGGAUUUUUCAACAAGG
rnacentral:lncRNA from 1 species